rnacentral:rRNA from 1 species
GACGAACGCUGGCGGCGUGCUUAACACAUGCAAGUCGAACGGAAAGGCCUGCAGCUUGCUGCGGGUACUCGAGUGGCGAACGGGUGAGUAACACGUGGGUGAUCUGCCUUGCACUACGGGAUAAGCUUGGGAAACUGGGUCUAAUACCGGAUAGGACAGCUGUUUAGUGUCAGUUGUGGAAAGUUUUUUCGGUGCAAGAUGAGCUCGCGGCCUAUCAGCUUGUUGGUGGGGUAAUGGCCUACCAAGGCGUCGACGGGUAGCCGGCCUGCGAGGGUGUACGGCCACAUUGGGACUGAGAUGCGGCCCAGACUCCUACGGGAGGCAGCAGUGGGGAAUAUUGCACAAUGGGCGGAAGCCUGAUGCAGCGACGCCGCGUGGGGGAUGAAGGCCUUCGGGUUGUAAACUCCUUUCGACAGAGACGAAGCUUUUGUGACGGUACCUGGAGAAGAAGCACCGGCUAACUACGUG